UACGAAGGGGGCUAGCGUUGCUCGGAAUCACUGGGUGUAAAGCGCGCGUAGGUGGUUUGUUAAGUUGGAUGUGAAAGCCCCGGGCUCAACCUGGGAACUGCAUUCAAAACUGACAAGCUAGAGUAUGGUAGAGGGUGGUGGAAUUUCCUGUGUAGCGGUGAAAUGCGUAGAUAUAGGAAGGAACACCAGUGGCGAAGGCGACCACCUGGACUGAUACUGACACUGAGGAGCGAAAGUGUGGGGAGCGAACAGG
rnacentral:rRNA from 1 species